rnacentral:rRNA from 1 species
AGAGUUUGAUCCUGGCUCAGGACGAACGCUGGCGGCGUGCCUAAUACAUGCAAGUCGAGCGGACCCUUCGGGGUCAGCGGCGGACGGGUGAGUAACACGUGGGCAAUCUGCCUGUCAGACUGGAAUAACGCCUGGAAACGGGUGCUAAUGCCGGAUAGGCUGCUUGGUCGCAUGACCGAGCAGGGAAAGAGGCUUUCGCC